rnacentral:rRNA from 1 species
CAGAACGAGGUUUAAACUUCAAAACCCAUGUGAACAUACCAAACGUUGCCUCGGCGGGAGAGCCCCGGGCCUGGCGAAAGCCUCGCACCGGUAUCAGGCGCCCGCCGCAGGACCAAACCAAACUCUUGUAUUCCAAAGAAUCUUCUGAGUAACCAUAAGUUAAUAAAUUAAAACUUUCAACAACGGAUCUCUUGGUUCUGGCAUCGAUGAAGAACGCAGCGAAAUGCGAUAAGUAAUGUGAAUUGCAGAAUUCAGUGAAUCAUCGAAUCUUUGAACGCACAUUGCGCCCGCCAGUACUCUGGCGGGCAUGCCUGUUCGAGCGUCAUUUCAACCCUCAAGCUCUGCUUGGUGUUGGGGAUCGGCACAAGCGCCCUCGGGCUGCCGCCGUCCCCUAAAUCUAGUGGCGGUCCCGCUGCAGCCUCCUCUGCGUAGUAGUUUACUCCUCGCUCUGGAAGCUCGGCGGUGCCCUGCCGUUAAACCCCCAACUUCUGAAAGGUUGACCUCGAAUCAGGUAGGAAUACCCGCUGAACUUAAGCAUAUCAAUAAGCGGAGGAAGACCUCGAAUCAGGUAGGUUUCCCAAAUUC